rnacentral:rRNA from 2 species
ACCGGGGCUAAUACCGGAUGGUUGUCUGAACCGCAUGGUUCAGACAUAAAAGGUGGCUUCGGCUACCACUUACAGAUGGACCCGCGGCGCAUUAGCUAGUUGGUGAGGUAACGGCUCACCAAGGCGACGAUGCGUAGCCGACCUGAGAGGGUGAUCGGCCACACUGGGACUGAGACACGGCCCAGACUCCUACGGGAGGCAGCAGUAGGGAAUCUUCCGCAAUGGACGAAAGUCUGACGGAGCAACGCCGCGUGAGUGAUGAAGGUUUUCGGAUCGUAAAGCUCUGUUGUUAGGGAAGAACAAGUGCCGUUCAAAUAGGGUUGUACCUUGACGGUACCUAACCAGAAAGCCACGGCUAACUACGUGCCAGCAGCCGCGGUAAUACGUAGGUGGCAAGCGUUGUCCGGAAUUAUUGGGCGUAAAGGGCUC